rnacentral:lncRNA from 13 species
GAGAAGCAGAAGAAGAGAAUCUUGUUUAUUUUGAAAUCAGUUCAUCAGUUUUAAGAGGUGAGGUCUCCCUGCGCCUGGCCUUGCCCCCUCCAAGUUAUUCGCCGUGGUGGUCUUUAUAAAAGUCCCAUUUCAUAGGUUGCAUGAUGAACUAAUGAAGAGGUGGGAAAACAUCAUGGAGAAAGUCAGCGACACAGCGAAGUCUUGGACAUGUGUGUGUACUAUGUGUACCAUUGCAACAAGCAAAAUGACGGGGAUGACACUUUUAAGCUAAUUGAAGCCGAACAAUGAGGAGGACAUGUCUUAGAUCAAACGUCUUUGGCUUCAAGACAGUGGAGACACCCAGGUCCAUCAAGAGCUGCUCUGGUUCUCACAGACAUGUGGUCUUUGUCACAAAGUUCC